GGAGGAUUGGGGAAGGAGAACAGUUCCAGCUGGCUGCCAUCCGGCAGGCGCAGGUCCAGCUUCCAGGAGUUGCGUUCGCUGCGGAAGUUCUCCGC
rnacentral:tRNA from 1 species